AAUAAAUGAUUGCAAUCCAAUGGAAUCAGCCAUGCCUAUAUCAUUGAUUGUCCAGCUAAAUAAUAAUUUGUAUCCUAGAACAAAAAAUUACCACUUCAGAAAGAAAUUGAAGAUAAGGCCAAAAUGAUUGCUAACAAUCUAUGAUCCAAGCAAGUCUUUGGAAAUCAUAUUGCUCUCAAGUCCUAACAAUAUAAAACAACUAACGUUACCAAUUGAAUGCAACAGACACUAAAAUUUACAAUCCUAUUGGCAGUCAUUCCCACAAUAAACAUUUAAAAAUCUUCAAACUAUGCUACUCUUCAUCCAACACUUCUUGUACUUCCUGCUCAGCUCCUUCCUUCUCUGAACCCCCUUCAUCCUGAUCAUCUUCAAUUUCAGCAUUGUUAGCUUCCAAGGCUUUGUCAUACUCAGCCUUACGCUCAGCAGCCUUACUCACAUACGGUUUCUUUUCCUGAAACAGAUUAAAAGGAGCGAUUAAAAGCCAUUGAUGUUAUUAAGUAGCUUCCUAGUGAACAAAUUUCAGAAAUGAGAAUCAACUGAACUCACUUCAUCAGUCAUACACUUCCAUUUUUCACCUGCUUCCUUUGCAACCUAAAUCCGAUUAAAAGCAUUAUAAAAAAAUCUGCCAAAGCAUUAUAAACACCCCCAUAUAGCAGUGAAGAAAUGCAUAUAAAACUCUGCAGAAUCUACCUUUUUAACAUCCUUACUGUCUGGAUUUGCUUCCUUGAAGGCUUUUCUAAAUUCAUCCAUGAAGAUAAAGAAGGCAGUGGGAGGACGUUUAGGCUUGUUUGGAUUGUUGCCCUUCUUCUCUUUCUUAGCUUUUUUUGCCUUUGGUUCUGUUGAUGUUGCUUUUUUCCUUUCUGUUUUCUUCUUAACUUCAGCGGGCUUGUCCACGACUUGAGCCUCCAAGUUCAUCUUGAUUCUAGCAUCAAGGCUACAGCUGUGCAUGCUGAUAAGAGCCACAGGAACAUGCUUCUUGCACUCUUCACAUCUACCAAAAGCACUGCCAUCCUUUCCGCGAACCAUGGAAGUGGUAGUCCCAGUAGCAGUAGCAGAUUCAGCCUCCACUCUUUUCCUUGCCAUUUGUGCCUUGUUGUAAUCAACUGAGGCGACAGAGAGAAUUGGGUAGAGAUAGAGAGGAUGGGAAUGGAGUUGAGGGAAGUGGAAGACGAAUAAUAUGAAGGAGCAAAGGGGAAGGGAGGGAAAAUGGGACAUGGAAUUUU
rnacentral:misc_RNA from 1 species